rnacentral:pre_miRNA from 1 species
CUGGUUUUCAUAAUGGUUUGAGAUUGUGUUAGAUUCUGAGAUCAUUGUGAAAACUGAUU